UAGCUGGUCUGAGAGGAUGACCAGCCACACUGGAACUGAGACACGGUCCAGACUCCUACGGGAGGCAGCAGUGGGGAAUAUUGCACAAUGGGCGCAAGCCUGAUGCAGCCAUGCCGCGUGUGUGAAGAAGGCCUUCGGGUUGUAAAGCACUUUCAGCGGGGAGGAAGGCGUUGAGGUUAAUAACCUUGUCGAUUGACGUUACCCGCAGAAGAAGCACCGGCUAACUCCGUGCCAGCAGCCGCGGUAAUACGGAGGGUGCAAGCGUUAAUCGGAAUUACUGGGCGUAAAGCGCACGCAGGCGGUCUGUCAAGUCGGAUGUGAAAUCCCCGGGCUCAACCUGGGAACUGCAUUCGAAACUGGCAGGCUAGAGUCUUGUAGAGGGGGGUAGAAUUCCAGGUGUAGCGGUGAAAUGCGUAGAGAUCUGGAGGAAUACCGGUGGCGAAGGCGGCCCCCUGGACAAAGACUGACGCUCAGGUGCGAAAGCGUGGGGAGCAAACAGGAUUAGAUACCCUGGUAGUCCACGCCGUAAACGAUGUCGAUUUGGAGGUUGUGCCCUUGAGGCGUGGCUUCCGGAGCUAACGCGUUAAAUCGACCGCCUGGGGAGUACGGCCGCAAGGUUAAAACUCAAAUGAAUUGACGGGGGCCCGCACAAGCGGUGGAGCAUGUGGUUUAAUUCGAUGCAACGCGAAGAACCUUACCUGGUCUUGACAUCCACAGAACUUUCCAGAGAUGGAUUGGUGCCUUCGGGAACUGUGAGACAGGUGCUGCAUGGCUGUCGUCAGCUCGUGUUGUGAAAUGUUGGGUUAAGUCCCGCAACGAGCGCAACCCUUAUCCUUUGUUGCCAGCGGUCCGGCCGGGAACUCAAAGGAGACUGCCAGUGAUAAACUGGAGGAAGGUGGGGAUGACGUCA
rnacentral:rRNA from 1 species